rnacentral:rRNA from 1 species
AUACGAAGGGGGCUAGCGUUGUUCGGAAUUACUGGGCGUAAAGCGCACGUAGGCGGACAUUUAAGUCAGAUGUGAAAUUCCCGGGCUUAACCUGGGAGCUGCAUUUGAUACUGGAUAUCUAGAGUGCGGGAGAGGAAAGUGGAAUUCCUAGUGUAGCGGUGAAAUGCGUAGAGAUUAGGAAGAACACCAGUGGCGAAGGCGACUUUCUGGACCGUAACUGACGCUGAGAUACGAAAGCGUGGGGAGC